rnacentral:lncRNA from 1 species
CUGAAUUUAUUACAUACAUUGAGACUUUUUUAUUCAAUAAUAUAAUUGAACGCAACGAUCAUUAAAAAAGUUAAAUUAUUUUACAUAUUUCGUAGAAGUAAAUUCGUAAAAUUGAUUUCAAAUGUAAAACGUGAAUAUUUAUCGACAGAAAAAUUGACGUGUCAAUAGAAGCUACAAUUUUUAUUCCCUCGCUCGUAAUGGUUCGUAAAUUUCCCGAUAAUACGGGUCCGAUUAGACACAGUACAUUGGCCGCUUCGUUCAUCUACGCUUCAUCAGCGGUGAAUGCAGUCUGGAUUCGAAUUUCGUAUUUCUUGGAAAAAAGGACCUGAACAAAAGCGCGAAAAACACGUAUAAUAAUUAAACGUUCGAUCGCAUAAUAAAAUUACUUUUAUUAUUCACACAAAAAGUAUUAUUAUAUAUUAUUUUUAAAUUCAAUCGUAAAAAUUAUGUCGUAACCUAACCUUGUUAAAUUCGGAUUAAGGUAGAAGAAAAACAAAGGACGAUAAAGAGGAGAGGCGGGGAUAGGCGAAAGCGGAGGGUUUUAAUGAAUUUCAAUGAGCUUUCGCGACCCUGCCCCUUCAUUUGCACCAGGGGCUUAGCCAAACGUUAGACGUUAAACGGGGGAAUUUGAAAUUGCUUCAAUCCCUUGUGUACCCAGCACGAUCGUGUCGAGACAGGGUGCAUUUAAGAGUAGUCAUUCUUUAUUCCAUACACGUCGAAAGAGCAACACAACGUCAUUCACGCAUCAUCUUUGCUCGUCUUUUUUUUACCCUCCACUGUGAAGGGGUUCCAUUCAUCGUUCACGUUUCUUUGGUCUUCGAAUUUUUCUUCUUAGGUUGAAUUGUGAAAAUCGAAAAACAACUUACAUACGAAACAUUCGUUUCGAUUCGUAUAACUUAACGUAAUACGUUGAACUUAUUGUGAGAAUUAAAAAUGUACAUACUUUCGAUUCGAAAAUUUAUGCAAGUCUUUUCUAAUUAAUCAGUAGUAACAAUUAUUUAAACUUAAAGAAUUUUUCCACGCUGUUCACUUUCUGGCGGAUAAAAUGAAAGCCUGUGUUAUAUCGUAUCGUUUCAAGUCGUCUUUCUUCUCUCAUAACCUGCAAUCGCGAACUUUUGUGAGAUAUAAAGCAAUAUACUUUUGAUUAAUAAUUUCUAUCGUAGAAUAUUUAAUUUCACGUGAGAUAUUGCGUUUAAUAAAAUUUUCAUUUUAUUAUAAUCAGACAAAUAAAAUAAGUAGAACAAUUUAUUUAUCAAAUAGUUGAAUUGAUCUUGGAUCGUUCAGAUUUUUCAUCGUAAAAUCUUCUUCGUGCCAAUCAGAUUCACGUUGUAAUUUUCUUACCUCGUGAUCGUCGUCAUUAUAUUAUUAUAUCAUAUGCAUCCUGUUCGAAUACUUAUCCUUGGAGAGUAAUUCCGCAGGAAAAUACCGGUUGAACGAACAAUGAAGAAACAAAUAACGUUCUUUUAUUCUCUCGACGAUGUUUACCUCCAAAUAUCCUGUAUGUAUAAAAAGAUUGCACUUGAUUCUCAAGAAAAUGAAGAUUCGAAAAAUUUCGUGGAUUCGAACGAGGUUAAUAAGGUGGAUCGACUGAUUUCUAAAUCCUAUUGGAUUGUUCAGAAUUUCGUUUUUUCACAUGAGUGUCACUAGUCGAACGUUUGUCCAGCCAACUUCAUUCUAGAGUAGAAAUUAUUAGGUUGUUCGGAAAAUAAUUUCGUUUUUUCACACGAGUGUCGCUAGUCGAACGUUUAUCCAGCCAACUUCAUUUUAAACCGUAUUGUUAUAUAUUUCGAGAGUGUUGGCAUUUCAUGUUUUAUUUAUUAAAAAAAUUCGUUCGAUUCUGUGCGAUUGUGUUUUUCGUGUGUGAUAACAAAGAUGCAAAAUCAAAGGAGUAUUUUCGGCGUAUUUUACCUUUUUAUUACCACAAAAAUAAGAAUAUUGUUCAGGCAAGAAAAAAAUUAUGCGAAGAUGUAUCAACAGUAUCCCAGUCAAGUGCCAAAACUGAUUUUCAAAAUUUCCGACAAUUUCGACAUUAAAGAUGCAUCACGAUCUGGAACAUCAAUUGAAGCUAAUGAAAACAAACUAAAAUGAAACUAAUAUGAAAAAAAACGAACAACUCAAUAUUCGGGAUAAACGAGAGUGAGAGCGUGUUAUCGAUUGUUAGAUCGAUCGAUGCGAAGAAGUAAGCAAAUUUCGAUUGUUAUUAACAAUCGUUCGAAUAUCUGGGAUGAAAUCGGAUGUGGACUUGUAUAAAAAUCAAAUUUUCAAUGUUACCAUGUCAUUAAAAGUGAACAACGAAUAAUGUGAUCGACAUUCGUCUUGAAAUAAUAACGAAAUUAGAGAGAGAUUUUGAGACGAAUGACAUCCCGAAGUUCGCGUUGAAAAUACGAUUCAUCGAGACGAUUCAUUGACAUUCGUUUCUCCCGCAUUAAUAUUCCAUAGGUAAAGUAUUAAUUAGAAUGAUUAAUUUUUUUUAAUCGAAGAAAUAUUUCAGAUUCAAAGUCGUUAUCAAAAUGAUGGACGUAUCAGGACUUUCGAAGAACGUUUCGAAGAAAGAGCUCAAGUUCGAUGAUAAAAUGGAAAUUUACUAAGCUUAGUCGA